UUUUAUUGAGAGUUUGAUCCUGGCUCAGGAUGAACGCUGGCGGCAUGCCUAAGACAUGCAAGUCGAACGAGAGGACCCGUUGAAAUUUGAACAAAGUUAAGAAGCUUGCUUCAAGACAGAGUGAUUAUGGAUUUGGAUUCUUCCUCUAGUGGCAAACGGGUGAGUAACACGUGGGUUACCUGCCUCUAAGUUGGGAAUAACAGUUGGAAACGACUGAUAAUACCGAAUGUGCUCUACGGAGUAAAGAAGCCUUUAAAGCUUCGCUUAGAGAUGGGCCUGCGGCGUAUUAGCUAGUUGGUGGGAUAAUGGCCUACCAAGGCGAUGAUGCGUAGCCGAACUGAGAGGUUAAUCGGCCACACUGGGACUGAGACACGGCCCAGACUCCUACGGGAGACAGCAGUUAGGAAUAUUCGUCAAUGGGGGGAACCCUGAACGAGCAAUGCCGCGUGAAUGAUGAAGGCCCUAUGGGUUGUAAAAUUCUGUUGUUUGGAAAGAGUUGUAAGAUUAGGAAAUGAAUCUUACUUGACGGUACCAUUCAAGAAAGCCACGGCUAACUACGUGCCAGCAGCCGCGGUAAUACGUAGGUGGCGAGCGUUAUCCGGAUUUAUUGGGCGUAAAGGGUGCGUAGGCGGCUUGUUAAGUAUAAAAUUAAAGCCCGAAGCUUAACUUCGGUUCGUUUUAUAAACUGGUAGGCUAGAGUACAGUAGAGGCAAAUGGAAUUCCUAGUGUAGUGGUAGAAUGCGUAGAUAUUAGGAGGAACACCAGUGGCGAAGGCGAUUUGCUGGGCUGUUACUGACGCUGAGGCACGAAAGCGUGGGGAGCAAAUAGGAUUAGAUACCCUAGUAGUCCACGCCGUAAACGAUGAGUACUAAGUGUCGGGUUACCGGUGCUGAAGUUAACACAUUAAGUACUCCGCCUGAGUAGUACGGCCGCAAGGCUGAAACUCAAAGGAAUUGACGGGCACCCGCACAAGCGGUGGAGCAUGCUGUUUAAUUCGAAAGUACGCGAAGAACCUUACCUAGAUUUGACAUCCUCGGCAAAGCUAUAGAAAUAUAGUGGAGGUUACCCGAGUGACAGGUGGUGCAUGGUUGUCGUCAGCUCGUGUCGUGAGAUGUUUGGUUAAGUCCAAUAACGAGCGCAACCCUUUUUCUAAGUUGCUAACAUUUAGUUGAGGACUCUUGGAAUACUGCCAGUGUAAACUGGAGGAAGGUGGGGAUGAGGUCAAAUCAUCAUGCCCCUUACAUCUAGGGCUACAGGCGUGCUACAAUGGCCGAUACAACGAGUCGCAAUACGGUGACGUAAAGCUAAUCUCUUAAAGUCGGUCUCAGUCCGGAUUGGAGUCUGCAAUUCGACUCCAUGAAGUCGGAAUCGCUAGUAAUCCCGAAUCAGAAUGUCGGGGUGAAUACGUUCCCGGGUGUUGUACACACCGCCCGUCAUGCCAUGGGAGUCUGUAAUACUUGAAGUCGCUAGCCGAACCCGUAAGGGACGGGGGCGCCGAGGGUAGGACAGGUGACUGGGGUAAAGUCGUAACAAGGCAUCCCUACGAGAACGUGGGGAUGGAUCACCUCCUUUCUAUGGAGA
rnacentral:rRNA from 1 species